UACGUAGGUGGCAAGCGUUGUCCGGAUUUAUUGGGUUUAAAGGGUGCGUAGGCGGUCUUAUAAGUCAGUUGUGAAAUACGGCAGCUUAACUGUCGAGGUGCAAUUGAUACUGUAAGACUUGAGUACUGUUGAGGUAGACGGAAUGGACGGUGUAGCGGUGAAAUGCUUAGAGAUCGUCCAGAACACCGAUAGCGAAGGCAGCUUACUAAAGAGUAACUGACGCUGAGGCACGAAAGUGUGGGGAUCAAACAGG
rnacentral:rRNA from 1 species